rnacentral:rRNA from 1 species
UUGGAGGGCAAGUCUGGUGCCAGCAGCCGCGGUAAUUCCAGCUCCAAUAGCGUAUAUUAAGGUUGUUGCAGUUAAAAAGCUCGUAGUUGAAUUUCGGGAUCAAUUUAUUGGUCGUGCCAACGGUACGCACUGGUACAAUUGGUUUCUCCCUUCUGACGAAGCAUGAUGUCAUUAAUUUGAUGUCGUGGGGAAUCAGGACUGUUACUUUGAAAAAAUUAGAGUGUUUAAAGCAGGCUUUGGCUUGAAUACAUUAGCAUGGAAUAAUGAAAUAGGACGUUUGAUCUUAUUUCGUUGGUUUCUAAGAUCGACGUAAUGAUUAAUAGGGAUAGUUGGGGGCAUUAGUAUUCAAUUGUCAGAGGUGAAAUUCUUGGAUUUAUUGAAGACUAACUACUGCGAAAGCAUUUGCCAAGGAUGUUUUCAUUAAUCAAGAACGAAAGUUAGGGGAUCGAAGACGAUCAGAUACCGUCGUAGUCUUAACCAUAAACUAUGCCGACUAGGGAUCGGAUGAUGUUAAUUUUUUAAUGACUCAUUCGGCGCCUUACGGGAAAC